CCUACGGGAGGCAGCAGUGGGGAAUAUUGCGCAAUGGGCGAAAGCCUGACGCAGCGACGCCGCGUGAGGGAUGAAGGUCUUCGGAUCGUAAACCUCUGUCAGCAGGGACGAACGGUCACUGUGCUAAUCAGCAGUGCAUUGACGGUACCUGCAAAGGAAGCACCGGCUAACUCCGUGCCAGCAGCCGCGGUAAUACGGAGGGUGCGAGCGUUAAUCGGAAUUACUGGGCGUAAAGCGCUCGUAGGCGGUAUGUCAAGUCAAGGGUGAAAUCCCCGCGCUCAACGUGGGAAUUGCCUUUGAAACUGGAAAACUGGAGUGUGGGAGAGGAUAGUGGAAGUCCAGGUGUAGGAGUGAAAUCCGUAGAGAUCUGGAGGAACAUCAGGGGCGAAGGCGACUAUCUGGCACAUAACUGACGCUGAGGAGCGAAAGCGUGGGUAGCAAACAGGAUUAGAUACCCCUGUAGUC
rnacentral:rRNA from 1 species